CCGAGAAGUGGAGGCCCGGUAAAGUAAACGGGCCACCAUUUGGUUUAGCGCCAAUAGUUAACUUUCAGCUCUUAAUUUAUGCGCCUCCUCAGCGACGGCAAGGGCCGCGUGCUCAGCGAGGAGGAGCGCGCCAAGGAGAGCGUCUACAUCCAGAAGAUGGAGAAGGAGCGGCUGGAGAAGCUCAAGAAGAAGCUCGAGCAGGAGAAGGCCGGCGCCGACGAGACCAAGCCCGCCGACUCCGACAAGAAGACAGAAGGAUCUAACUAAAAUUGGCAUGGUGCUGUUUGAAGGCGUGCCUCGGAUGGAUGGCUUUGUUUGUACAUGUCCAUCGUUGAAAGAAAAUAAGAUUAUGUAAAAUGUUAACUGCAUCAGUGUUUCCAGAUCAUAUAGUAUCGAUGCUGAACCUUAUGUCACUGUGCUUUAUAUAUGUUUGCUUUCUUCCGGUAAA